AAAAGCUAAAAGGUGAUGAACCGCGCAACUGGAAUAACGAAUAGUUAAUAGUCACGCGGAGGUUGACGCAUGCUCUGUAACGUUUCCCCGGGGUGAUAUUCAGUCAGGCAAACUGAGCCAGGAACCGAGGCUAGUAGACGUUCGAUCGUUACGAGGUGAAUCGGUGGUUGGGAGUACCGCGAAACAAACAAUUUUGGACAUGCGUAUCGAUCGUUAUCGUUCGCACCUACGUAUGGCCACUUAUUUCUGGAAAAUAUCUUCCAUUAUUAGCAUCGAUUCUAAUAUUUAGUUUGCACAUCAAUAAUAACCUUUUGCUUCGUCACGAGGAAAAAACGGUUGAAUAAGAGAAAAGAGAGCGGAAGAAAGAAGAGAAGGGAGAUAGAAAGAGAAAGAGAGAUAGAGAGAAAAAGUGAAAUCUAAACAAGAAAAAGAAUAUGGAAAAUAUUCUCUUAUACUACACUAUAUGAAAUGAGGAAAAUUCUCAAUUGAAGAUUUGGAUCAGUUGCUUGAAACGGAUUCGAAUUUUGGAAAAGUUGAAAGGAAAUUAAUUAGGGUGAGAUCGAAGCAAUCCUAGCAUGAUAUUAUUAGAUAAAAACCAUUUAGAUGCAUGCCGACAUUGGAUAGUCGGUCUCCAAUCUUCCCCGUAGAACGAAUGCGCACCACCUGUAGCUCGAUAUCUAUGCUCGAAAGGUCAAUCACCUUUUCAUUAUGUUUUUUUGCAAAUCAGGAAAUGAGGAAAAUAUAAAAAUAAAAUAGAAGAAAGGAAGAACGAGAAAUAAGAGGAAAGAAAUAAUAGUAGAAAUAAAAGAAAAAGAAGGAAAACGUGAAAAAACAAAGGCUAUCCGAUUUCUUAUUUUACUGUGAGACAAAUUGAGCAAUACAGUUUAAUAUCUAUUUUCAACAGGAUGUAUACUUUACAUAAAUAUUCUAAAUAUACCAUAAAUGAAAAUUAAUCGGAUUCGAAAUCAUUAAAGGAGAAAUUAUGACUGAAGAAAGUAACAAUACCGUUUCUUGCAAAUGGAGCAUGGAAGAACGGGAAAAGAUAUUAACUACAGGAACGCUAGAACAAAAAAAAGAAGCUUUCAAAGAUGAUGAAGAAUUAAUGAAAGAAACAACCAAAUUUGUAAGUGAUGUUAUACAAACGGCGAUCUCGGAAGCUUCAAAAAGGAGGAUGGAGAAAGGUGAUGAUAGCGAAGGAAGUAGAUUAAAGGGUAUCGGUAGCAUCACUGGUUGGAAUCGUCGUGCACGUGGAUUUUGCAGUCGAAUAUUGAACGCGCUAUGUCCGUGCUUCACUAGCAAUGAAUUAUUCGCCUGGACACCGUACCGAUAUCGCUUCACAAGACCGUAAUUGUUUGCUGCCUACCAGAAUUACCAUGUUUUGCCGAGCAACCAAUCCUAUUGAUAAGAUAAUAGAUAUCACGAAUAUUCGUGUAUGCAAAAUUAAAAGAAAUUAGUGAAUCGCGGUCAACGGUCGGUUCUUGAUCCUAUCUGCUAUUGGAUUUAAACAAUUACAAUUUUGUAUUACAAAUUGUCAAUAAUUUCUACAGUAUUUAUGUUUCUACAAUAUAUUAUCAGAAUUCUAGUCAAUCCGAAUAUCUAUACACGUAUGUAUGAAUGUAUAUUCGUAUACAUGUAUGUGUACAACUUAUGGUAUGUAGUUGUUUCCAAAAUUAUAUUAAAAUUUUAAUUAGGUAUUCUUCUCAUAAUGUGAGAUUACGAAGAAAUGUUAAUGUCUGAAAUAUCUUUCUUUGCAACAUUGCGUGUUAGGAGCGAUGGAUAUGCGAUUCUGUUUCCUUUCGUGUCCUUAUACGUACUUAUAUGUAUUUAGUUCACCAAACAGAACGCAAAUAAUGCGAUUAUAAAUAAUGAAGAAAAAAAAUGAUAUCAAUGUGGAAAGAAAAUUAAUUGUACGUUAACUACGUAUUUACAUCAACUGCUAAUCCUUUAUGUAAUAAUUUUGUGCUAGUCAAAUAUCAAGAAAUAAAAGGAGAAAUAAAAAUGAAGGAAUGAGGAUGUACGAGUGAGACAGAGUAAGAAAAAAUAAUGAAAGAAAGGGAGAGAGCGAGUGAGCGACCGAAAGAGAGAGAGAGAAAGAGAGAGAGAGGAGUGAAUGAGAGAGAAAGAGAUUAACUAAAGAUUAUAUAUAUUCAGUGUACAAUUACUUGAUGUGGGAUCAAAAAAAAAGCCUAUUAACUGACAAUCAAAAAGAAAUGCAUUGUACAUGCAUGGAAAUUUAUUUACAUAAACAAGAUUGCAAUAUCUUUGUUGCGAAUUUGUUGUAAGAAACAAUCAAAUUGAUUAAACUUUUCAAUUAUUACAUGGCCGAAUCAAGACACAAUGAAAUAAUUAAUAUAUAGUAUACGUAUGCGAGUGCAUACGUAUACGACUGAAAUUACAUGAGUUUGAUAUAUAUUUACAUAUGCAUGUAUAUCCAUUAAUAUUUCUAAAAUGAAAUAAAUUAAAUGCGCAAUCAUAAUCAGAAAUCAAUUCACAAUUUGGAUUCUAUGAAAACAAGAAAUCAUAUCAUUAUUACUUAAUGAUUUAAUUCUUUUAAAUGAAGAAUAGAUUUAGAUAAUGAUAAAUU